GCCGGGGAGAGGCUGGUCUAACGGAGUUUAAGCCUUUUGCGGGGCUCCUAGCAGUCGUAUGUUUGUUUGCAGAAAUGAUUACGUGAGCACAGAGGGCAGAUUACAAUGAGGAAAGCAUAUUAUCCAGUUUGUGUCUUUCAAAAGUUCUUUUUCCUCUAUGAGUCACGGCAUAACCACGUUCUUGCUGGUAGCAUACCUGUGUGAGACGGUUUUCUUCAUAUACUUCAACCAAAUGCAUAUGGCAAUAGAUCCAACGCGGAGACAGAUGAGUGUCCAGUUGUUUUCGACCGAGCUAGACCUUACGGAUGUCACAAAAAGAUGGCAGCCGCUUAUACAUUUGCAAAUGUCACCCAGGAAACUGCCUUGGAGCUGAUGCGUGUGAAACAAAGGCAAGUCCUUGAGCAGAUCCUUCAAGGAGCUUACGGGGAGCUUCAGGGAGCUACUUCGGUCAAAACGUGGAUCCACGGUUCUUUGAGGUGAGAUAAGAUUGGUUCUGGUCCCUCCGGUACCAGUAACCUGCACCAGGAAAAUGGACUUCUGUCUUCAAGUCUGUAGCUGCGUUGGGGAUGGUAACAAGAUUCUAGAGUUCUGAAAAACUUCAUCGUGACAAUUCUUGCCAGCUUGUUCACUGCUUUUAUGAAGGGAUGAAGGCUUGGAGUUGUCUACUCUGCUGUUUUCAGAGACGUCUGUCCUGUGGAGAGAAUGGGUGACACGGAUGUGGUAUUCCUGAUUCCAACAAAAGGGCAGCAUCCGGUCCAGAUCCCUUCCGACUUAUCUGGGAGUCUUGAGAGUUGGAUGGCUGAGGAGAUUUGUGGCCGAGCCCUGGAAAUCAUUGACCUGCCCCUUCUGUGGGGUCUACUCUGAGGAACCCUAUUCCAUAACGUGCGCACCUUCUGUCCAAGGCGCCUGGGCUCCUCGGUGAUGCAGACUGACAAGAGCCUUUUCAUCCACUCUGGGUGCUUUCAGUUCUCCCAGAAUAAGUAAGGCCAGGAAAACCUGGUAGCAGGACGUUUGGCGGACCUUUUCAGAGAGUUGGACUCUGGAGUCGAGCACUGAGCAUGGGCCUUAGGUCGGCAGGUUUCUGUGUGACCGUGACAGAAAACCGGAAAAGACUCAUCUCUUCCUUUUACCUGCACUGUUUUGAAGACCUCUGCUUGACAUCUUGCAAACAACUUAUACUUCCCCUGCCUUCAGCAUUUGGUGAGAAAGCACCAGACGGGCUAUUCAUUUCUCGCCAGCCUCUUGACAUUUCUCAGAUACGCAAGAUCCGGAUCAGCACGGCCCUUGGGAGGGUGGCUGAGACGAAGGUGCUCACGCCUGCGCCAAGCCCGUGCUGCUGUAUGCUCGGAUUUUAUGUGAAUGUGAACUUGGGUUCACUAACCACCACCGACUGUCUCACAUCCUCUGAGACAUGUGAGGUGUCAGAAGGGUAUGUGUGCUCGAGUCCGGUAGAGACUCCUGAGACAUUCCUCUCCGCCGCUGGCGUCCUGGCUUCUCCACUUCACUUCUGGCCGCAACGAUUAGAAGAUGGAAAUGGGAGGGAGGUAGAAAUGGGAUAUAGGUGCUUGCUUGGCAUCUGCCCAUUGUCAAGGAACAUUCCCUGUGUCUUCAGAGCUCAGAUUUAGUGUUGGGAGCCUCACAGGAGGAUGUGAAGUUGUGUUAUCCGAACCCAGGGCUGUUCUCCACAUGCACCGAAAGUUACAGAAGGACGGAGCCGUGAAUUGCUGCUUUAGAAGGAAACCAAGAGCUAGCCUGUGGACAGUAUCCAGGAGGAAUCUGUGUAAAAUGCCAAUGAAAAUACUCCCAGUCAAAACAUGAGGUGUGUGGGUGAGCUGCGAACAAAGAAGACGUCAUCACAUUGAAGGCUCAACGUGCCAAGCGAGAAAGAUGACCAAUAGGCAGAUGAAGCACCCAACUGCACAGGCUAAAGGCGGACUCCGAAACAGAAGGCUUUCAAAGGGAAAGGAUUUGCAAAGACAAGAAGGAAGUCAGAUUUCAGAAAGAUCUGCUCCCCCAGUAGAGAACCUGGUAAGCAUUUGAUUCAAGAAACCAUAAAGUUAUCAAGGUUUCCAAGUUUAUAUCCGUGUGUUAAUGCUGGCAACAGACAACUUCCUCACGUGACGUUAUAGUCACAAAGACCAAGUCAUAGUCUCAGAUGCCAACAUAACAAGAUCAGGAGCGGAAUUGCUCGUGUUUGGAAACCAGGUUUACGGGAUGUUCACUAUUUUAAGAGCUUGGAGACCCAAGCCAGUUAGGGUGGUCCUGUUAUUUUUAAUUUAGCUCAGAAUGCAAAGUGCUUUACUUUUUUCCAUAUUGCCGUCUCUGAAGUGCUCAGUCGUGUUGGGAGUAGAGUCAUGUAUCAGUGUUGGCUUCCUGCUUCCCUCUUUUGGUCAAGUUCCUGCCAUUAAGAUGUGGAUUUGAUAGCAGGGUUGGCCUGUGGUGGUGGUGGUGAUUGUUGUUUUUAAAUUCAGUAUCAUUAAUUGUUUGUGUGUCCUUUGACUUAUUUGUACAGGAGUAACUAGUGUUGUUUUCAUAGAAGAUCCUUUUAACGGUUAUCAAAAAUGCAGUCACAUCAUAUGGAGUCUAAAACUCUGCUUUUUUGGGGGGAUUUUGUUCAGCCCGUAGCCUUAUAAUUGCCUUUCAUGUUCAGAGGUAUUUUACUUCUUUUAUCAGAUCUGUUGGGAUCGAGAACUGAGAAAUUAAUCUACUCUACCAGGUCACCCUGAAGUAACUAUGACUGUAAGGGUCCCCAUGUUAGACUGUUCCUGGCCUGCAAGUGACAAGCUCAAAAUAUGUAUAAGGGGAGGAUCUCAUAAGCCAUAGAGCAGACACCAGGCAACUUUUCCUGGGAGGAAUUUACGGAUACCUUUUCCACAUGUGAAUCAGCCCUGAAGAGUGGGUUUUUGAUGGGAUGUCUAGGUGGCUCAGUUGGUUAAGUGUCCGACUUUGGCUCAGGUCAUGAACUAAUGGUUU